rnacentral:rRNA from 1 species
UAGCACAGAGGAGCUUGCUCCUUGGGUGACGAGUGGCGGACGGGUGAGUAAUGUCUGGGAAACUGCCCGAUGGAGGGGGAUAACUACUGGAAACGGUAGCUAAUACCGCAUAACGUCGCAAGACCAAAGAGGGGGACCUUCGGGCCUCUUGCCAUCGGAUGUGCCCAGAUGGGAUUAGCUAGUAGGUGGGGUAACGGCUCACCUAGGCGACGAUCCCUAGCUGGUCUGAGAGGAUGACCAGCCACACUGGAACUGAGACACGGUCCAGACUCCUACGGGAGGCAGCAGUGGGGAAUAUUGCACAAUGGGCGCAAGCCUGAUGCAGCCAUGCCGCGUGUAUGAAGAAGGCCUUCGGGUUGUAAAGUACUUUCAGCGAGGAGGAAGGGGAUGUGGUUAAUAACCGCAUUCAUUGACGUUACUCGCAGAAGAAGCACCGGCUAACUCCGUGCCAGCAGCCGCGGUAAUACGGAGGGUGCAAGCGUUAAUCGGAAUUACUGGGCGUAAAGCGCACGCAGGCGGUCUGUCAAGUCGGAUGUGAAAUCCCCGGGCUCAACCUGGGAACUGCAUCCG